rnacentral:rRNA from 1 species
UAUGAAGGUCAGGCUGAAGACCUUACCCCGAUUAGCUGAGAGGUGGUGCAUGGCCGUCGUCAGUUCGUACUGUGAAGCAUCCUGUUAAGUCAGGCAACGAGCGAGACCCACGUCCACAGUUGCCAGCAUACCCCUCCGGGGUGAUGGGUACACUGUGGAGACCGCCGCUGCUAAAGCGGAGGAAGGAGUGGGCAACGGUAGGUCAGUAUGCCCCGAAUCUCCCGGGCUACACGCGGGCUACAAUGGUUGGUACAAUGGGCAUCUACCCCGAAAGGGGAAGGAAAUCUCUUAAAGCCAAUCGUAGUUCGGAUUGAGGGCUGCAACUCGCCCUCAUGAAGCUGGAAUCCGUAGUAAUCGCGUUUCAACAGAACGCGGUGAAUACGUCCCUGCUCCUU